rnacentral:rRNA from 1 species
AUUUUAAAGAGAGUUUGAUCCUGGCUCAGGACGAACGCUGGCGGCGUGCCUAAUACAUGCAAGUCGAACGAACGGAGGAAGAGCUUGCUCUUCCAAAGUUAGUGGCGGACGGGUGAGUAACACGUGGGCAACCUGCCUGUAAGUUGGGGAUAACUCCGGGAAACC